rnacentral:rRNA from 1 species
GCUCAGGAUGAACGCUGGCGGCGUGCUUAACACAUGCAAGUCGAACGAAGCACUUUAACCUGAUUCUUCGGAUGAAGGCUUUUGUGACUGAGUGGCGGACGGGUGAGUAACGCGUGGGUAACCUGCCUCAUACAGGGGGAUAACAGUUAGAAAUGACUGCUAAUACCGCAUAAGACCACGGAGCCGCAUGGCUCAGUGGGAAAAACUCCGGUGGUAUGAGAUGGACCCGCGUCUGAUUAGGUAGUUGGUGGGGUAACGGCCUACCAAGCCAACGAUCAGUAGCCGACCUGAGAGGGUGACCGGCCACAUUGGGACUGAGACACGGCCCAAACUCCUACGGGAGGCAGCAGUA